UACAGAGGUCCCAAGCGUUGUUCGGAUUCAUUGGGCGUAAAGGGUGCGUAGGUGGCGCCGUAAGUGGGGUGUGAAAUCUCGGAGCUUAACUCCGAAACUGCAUUCGAUACUGCCGUGCUUGAGGACUGGAGAGGAGACUGGAAUUUACGGUGUAGCGGUGAAAUGCGUAGAUAUCGUAAGGAAGACCAGUGGCGAAGGCGGGUCUCUGGACAGUUCCUGACGCUGAGGCACGAAGGUCAGGGGAGCAAACGGG
rnacentral:rRNA from 1 species